GCCUUCGUGGUGUAGUGGUCAACACGCUGGGCGCGUAUUCCAGAGGUCCGUGGUUCGAGUCCUGGCGAAGGCG
rnacentral:tRNA from 1 species